ACAAUCAAAGUAAAGCAUAACCCCAUAUUUGUAAACGAAGAUCAUGAGCCAAGGCAGGCUAUUCAGCCCCUGGUUGGACACUGACAGCAUGUUUGGUUAGGUGUAUUGGCUAUGCACCCCUAAUCGGUCGGCCCCAUUAAUCCCUCUUUAAUCCGUUGUUUGGUUGAUUGUAUUACCAUUACGUCUCAAAUUUGUUCCUUCUCUAAUACACCCGGUCCCGUAAUAGAUAUUCCCCCCAUCCAGCUCCGAUUAGAGAAUCCUUACCUAUUUCUUAUUUUCGUUUCCUUUUUCUGCACUCAUAGAUAUUUGCUUCUUCUUCCAUCGGUAUUGUAGAUCUGUCCUCAUUUCUUCUGCUUUCAUAACAAAUCCUCAACAUUGUCUUCAUCGGAGGCCGAUUUCAGCCGAUCUCAUCAUCUUCCGAGCUUUCAAUUUCAAAUAAGAUUCAAUGGAAACACCGGCUACACACACGAAGAUUUCCAGCUACCACAACAACAACAACUCUUGCAAAUCAAUCAAGCCUUGUUUUGGGUGGUGGUCAUGCAUGAAUGUGUCAAGAUCAGUUUGGAGAAUCCUCGAAAGGGAGCAGUUCGCAGUCGGGUUCCCCUUAAGGGCCUCUCCAGUUAGCCACAAACACCGGAGGGACCUCCACUACAUGGUGUGAGAGCAUGGAAGAUGAUGAAGAUGCAAAAUCCGAGUGCUAUAGUUGGAAAAGCCAUGUUCAAAAACCCAUAAAAAACAAUAUAUAGAGUUUACCCACCAUGAAUUUUGCAGAUUAAAAAAAAAAAAGAAAGAAAGUAUUAUGAGGAAAUCAUUUAUCUGGAGAAAUUUUCAUUUCUGAAUUGAAGGACUGCAAUUAUUGUUUA